ensembl:lncRNA
GAGACAAAAGGGCAGCCUCCCUGGGGAGCACUCCAAUGGGUCCCUAGAUCUGAUAUAUCAAGAUUAAGACAUGAAAAUUUGGAGCAGAGUGACAAGAAAGGGUCUGGAAACACUGCAGUACUUUCUGAGUGGGAGCAGGGCUCCUCAUCGUUGUUCUGGAGGCUCGUUCCUCGGAGCUGGCUUUGAGAUCUGCAACAUAUUCAGUUUCUACAAGAUAAAUACAAAUUUUCCUGAAUGUUAUUUCUCAAUCAUCGGGGCCAUCUUAACUUCAUUCUAACCUUUUUAAGAUGUGAUAAGGAACUUUCAGGCCACAGUAGAAAAGAUGUGAGCACUAUGCUGGAAUUUAUGAACUGUAGUUGACCCCUGAGAGUGGACAUUCAGCAUUCGGAACUCCAGAAAACCAGUACAGAGCGAAGCAGCUCAAUACCUGAUAUAAUUGGCCAAGGGAGGCUUCUGCCCUGGACCAGAGUCUAAGCAGCCCGUCACCUCUCUUUUGUUUAACUUGCAAGCCUGACUGCCCCCAGCCCAUCCUCCCCACCCGACCCC